rnacentral:rRNA from 1 species
CCCUAUGGGGUGCAGCAGGCAUUUGCUGAACGGCAGGGCCUUCGUGGUGUCUUGGACCCGGACGAGGACGGAUGCGACUACCCCGGCGAGAUUCAAAAGCUGGCCGCGAAAGUAGCCUAAGCCGCGACAUGCCCGCCCCGCAUCCCAUCGCGUUUGACGAUAGCGGCGAAGUCGUGUCCGCAGUGGGCUUCGACUUCGACGCGGUUGACGCACGAUUGGACGGGGAGCGGGAUACGGCCUGCGAUGAACGCAGGAUAAGGCGCGAAACGAUAACCAGAUUUCUAGGCUUACUCUCAGCACGCGGCAACGCAAAGCAGAUUGGCCGCAGGGCGCUCUUGCUGGCCUUCAUCUGUAAAGUGAGCGACUGCCGCACACAGAAGGAAUUGGCGGGAGAGC